rnacentral:rRNA from 1 species
UCCUCCCUCUUCCCUCGUGCUUAACACAUGCAAGUCGAACGGAAAGGCCCUGCUUUUGUGGGGUGCUCGAGUGGCGAACGGGUGAGUAACACGUGAGUAACCUGCCCUUGACUUUGGGAUAACUUCAGGAAACUGGGGCUAAUACCGGAUAGGAGCUCCUGCUGCAUGGUGGGGGUUGGAAAGUUUCGGCGGUUGGGGAUGGACUCGCGGCUUAUCAGCUUGUUGGUGGGGUAGUGGCUUACCAAGGCUUUGCCGGGUAGCCGGCCUGAGAGGGUGACCGGCCACAUUGGGACUGAGAUACGGCCCAGACUCCUACGGGAGGCAGCAGUGGGGAAUAUUGCACAAUGGGCGGAAGCCUGAUGCAGCAACGCCGCGUGCGGGAUGACGGCCUUCGGGUUGUAAACCGCUUUCGCCUGUGACGAAGCGUGAGUGACGGUAAUGGGUAAAGAAGCACCGGCUAACUACGUG